GAUGAACGCUAGCGGCAGGCCUAACACAUGCAAGUCGAGGGAGAAGCCCUUUCGGGGGCAGACACCGGCGCACGGGUGCGUAACGCGUAUGCAACCUACCUUUCACAGGGGAUAGCCCGAAGAAAUUUGGAUUAAUACCCCAUAAUAUUAUUGGAUGGCAUCAUUUGAUAAUUAAAACUGCGGUGGUGAAAGAUGGGCAUGCGUCCUAUUAGCUAGUUGGAGUGGUAACGGCACCCCAAGGCUACGAUAGGUAGGGGUCCUGAGAGGGAGAUCCCCCACACUGGUACUGAGACAGGGACCAGACUCCUACGGGAGGCAGCAGUGAGGAAUAUUGGUCAAUGGUCGGAAGACUGAACCAGCCAUGCCGCGUGCAGGAAGAAUGCCUUAUGGGUUGUAAACUGCUUUUAUAUGGGAAGAAUAAGGCGUACGUGUACGUUGAUGACGGUACCAUAUGAAUAAGCAUCGGCUAACUCCGU
rnacentral:rRNA from 1 species